rnacentral:rRNA from 1 species
AGCGAACGCUGGCGGCGUGCCUAACACAUGCAAGUCGAGCGAGAAAGGGCGUUUCGGCGCCUGAGUACAGCGGCGCACGGGUGCGUAACACGUGGGCAAUCUGUCCUGUAGUGGGGGAUACCCCAGCGAAAGCUGGGCUAAUACCGCAUUAGACCCCAGCCGGGAACGGCCGAGGUCAAAGGGUGCGGUCUAUGGAGCGCAUUCGCUGGAGGAGGAGCCCGCGGCCUAUCAGCUAGUUGGUAGGGUCACGGCCUACCAAGGCGAAGACGGGUAGCUGGUCUGAGAGGAUGACCAGCCACACGGGAACUGAGACACGGCCCCGACUCCUACGGGAGGCAGCAGUGGGGAAUAUUGGGCAAUGGGGGAAACCCUGACCCAGCGACGCCGCGUGGGUGAUGAAGGCCUUCGGGUCGUAAAGCCCUGUCGGGCGGAACGAAUGCCCCUGGGGUAAAGAGCCCUAGGGGGUGACGGUACCGCCGAAGGAAGCACCGGCCAACUCCGUGCCAGCCGCCGCGGUAAGAC